AGAGUUUGAUCCUGGCUCAGGACGAACGCUGGCGGCACGCUUAACACAUGCAAGUCGAACGAGAGAAGAGGAGCUUGCUUUUCUGAUCUAGUGGCGGACGGGUGAGUAGCACGUGAGCAAUCUGCCUUUCAGAGGGGGAUACCGAUUGGAAACGAUCGUUAAUACCGCAUAACAUAAUUGAACCGCAUGAUUUGAUUAUCAAAGAUUUAUCGCUGAAAGAUGAGCUCGCGUCUGAUUAGCUAGUUGGUAAGGUAACGGCUUACCAAGGCGACGAUCAGUAGCCGGACUGAGAGGUUGAUCGGCCACAUUGGGACUGAGACACGGCCCAGACUCCUACGGGAGGCAGCAGUGGGGAAUAUUGCACAAUGGAGGAAACUCUGAUGCAGCGAUGCCGCGUGAGGGAAGAAGGUUUUAGGAUUGUAAACCUCUGUCUUCAGGGACGAAAAAAGACGGUACCUGAGGAGGAAGCUCCGGCUAACUACGUGCCAGCAGCCGCGGUAAUACGUAGGGAGCGAGCGUUGUCCGGAAUUACUGGGUGUAAAGGGAGCGUAGGCGGGAUCGCAAGUCAGAUGUGAAAACUAUGGGCUUAACCCAUAAACUGCAUUUGAAACUGUGGUUCUUGAGUGAAGUAGAGGUAAGCGGAAUUCCUAGUGUAGCGGUGAAAUGCGUAGAUAUUAGGAGGAACAUCAGUGGCGAAGGCGGCUUACUGGGCUUUAACUGACGCUGAGGCUCGAAAGCGUGGGGAGCAAACAGGAUUAGAUACCCUGCUAGUCCACGCCGUAAACGAUGAUUACUAGGUGUGGGGGGACUGACCCCUUCCGUGCCGCAGCAAACGCAAUAAGUAAUCCACCUGGGGAGUACGACCGCAAGGUUGAAACUCAAAGGAAUUGACGGGGGCCCGCACAAGCAGUGGAGUAUGUGGAUUAAUUCGAAGCAACGCGAAGAACCUUACCAGGUCUUGACAUCGUAUGCAUAGCUCAGAGAUGAGUGAAAUCUCUUCGGAGACAUAUAGACAGGUGGUGCAUGGUUGUCGUCAGCUCGUGUCGUGAGAUGUUGGGUUAAGUCCCGCAACGAGCGCAACCCUUACUGUUAGUUGCUACGCAAGAGCACUCUAGCAGGACUGCCGUUGACAAAACGGAGGAAGGUGGGGAUGACGUCAAAUCAUCAUGCCCCUUAUGACCUGGGCCUCACACGUACUACAAUGGCUGUCAACAGAGGGAAGCAAAGCCGCGAGGUGGAGCGAACCCCUAAAAGCAGUCUUAGUUCGGAUUGUAGGCUGCAACCCGCCUACAUGAAGUCGGAAUUGCUAGUAAUCGCAGAUCAGCAUGCUGCGGUGAAUACGUUCCCGGGCCUUGUACACACCGCCCGUCACGCCAUGGGAGUCGGUAACACCCGAAGCCUGUAGUCUAACCGCAAGGAGGACGCAGUCGAAGGUGGGAUUGAUGACUGGGGUGAAGUCGUAACAAGGUA
rnacentral:rRNA from 1 species